rnacentral:lncRNA from 1 species
AUGCUCUGGGCACUGUGUCUAGGAAAAUCCCAAGGAAAGGGGCUGUGGCUGGGAAGGUCCAGAGCCUGGCCGCGAAACCGCAGAGGGCAGGUACUGGUGGAAAAGUCCAGCGGUGAUUCACCUCCUCCCUGCCCUGCCCUCCCCAGAUCUCAGCCUGCAGCCUGGGGGUUGGUAGCACCCACCCUACCACCCAGUGAGAGAGGGCUGUGCCCAGCCCUGUCCAUCCCAUCUGCUUCCCUCCGGAGGAGCAGAAGCCACACCAGAGGGGCGAGGCUGGGUCUCUUAGCGUCUUCCCGGGACUCUGCUGGGGACACGGGAGCCGGGGAGCUGGACAAAGGGAUGAGCUGA